rnacentral:lncRNA from 1 species
GGGAUGCCUUGCACCACCCUGGGGCCCUGCAGAGUCCCUGCCAGCAAGAGGGCCCUCACCAGAUGCACCCCCUAGACUUGGACUUCCCAGCCUCCAGAAAUAAACCUAGAAUGAAAUCUGUGCUGCCUGCUACAACCUGUGGCUUUGGAUUUUCUCGAGGCCCCAGAGCGUCAGAGGAAGUUUUCCGAAUGGCACUCUGCGUGGGAAGGAGCUUGUGCACGUGCACGCUGCCACCAUCUGCCCUCAGCGCUGAUUCAGGAGGCGCUUCUCAACUAUAGCCCACAGUGUGACAACUGAACGUGUCCCCUCACGUUUCCAAAUACGGGGGGUGCAGGAGGCACUGCUCACUGUUGCACCCCCUGACCCACGCUGCCAGUCCUGCCCUCACUGCUGGGUGCUCACUGGGACCCUGGAAAGGUCUAGCUGAGCCUUUUAGGGCAUGAGGAUGUUGGGAGAAUAGAGGUGGCUCCUCUGAGAAGCCUGAGAAGUGAUCAGGCCAACCUUAGAAUCUCUGACUACUAGAGGCUUGACUUGCAGUGAAACCCGUCCUAAUUGAUGAAGAUCCUG